rnacentral:snoRNA from 1 species
CCCCUCUCAGGGUCGCACCUGGAGAGUUUCUAGUACUCUACCAGUCUCGGCUAUAGGAGGGAGAGUCAAGCAGAGGCCUAACCAUUCCAUUCCUAGCUUGGCCAGUGGCUAGGGAAUAGAAGGCAAUCUGCUACAAGU